UACGGAGGGUGCAAGCGUUAUCCGGAUUCACUGGGUUUAAAGGGUGCGUAGGCGGCUGUUUAAGUCAGUGGUGAAAGCCGAUCGCUUAACGAUCGAACUGCCAUUGAUACUGAAUAGCUUGAGUACAGAUGAGGUAGGCGGAAUUGACAGUGUAGCGGUGAAAUGCAUAGAUAUUGUCAAGAACACCGAUUGCGAAGGCAGCUUACUAAAGUGUCACUGACGCUGAGGCACGAAAGUGCGGGGAUCAAACAGG
rnacentral:rRNA from 1 species